rnacentral:rRNA from 1 species
UGGCUGGGGGUGAAAGGCCAAUCAAACCGGGAGAUAGCUGGUUCUCCCCGAAAGCUAUUUAGGUAGCGCCUCGUGAAUUCAUCUUCGGGGGUAGAGCACUGUUUCGGCUAGGGGGUCAUCCCGACUUACCAACCCGAUGCAAACUACGAAUACCGAAGAAUGUUAUCACGGGAGACACACGGCGGGUGCUAACGUCCGUCGUGAAGAGGGAAACAACCCAGACCGCCAGCUAAGGUCCCAAAGUCAUGGUUAAGUGGGAAACGAUGUGGGAAGGCACAGACAGCCAGGAUGUUGGCUUAGAAGCAGCCAUCAUUUAAAGAAAGCGUAAUAGCUCACUGGUCGAGUCGGCCUGCGCGGAAGAUGUAACGGGGCUAAACCAUGCACCGAAGCUGCGGCAGCGACACUAUGUGUUGUUGGGUAGGGGAGCGUUCUGUAAGCCUGCGAAGGUGUGCUGUGAGGCAUGCUGGAGGUAUCAGAAGUGCGAAUGCUGACAUAAGUAACGAUAAAGCGGGUGAAAAGCCCGCUCGCCGGAAGACCAAGGGUUCCUGUCCAACGUUAAUCGGGGCAGGGUGAGUCGACCCCUAAGGCGAGGCCGAAAGGCGUAGUCGAUGGGAAACAGGUUAAUAUUCCUGUACUUGGUGUUACUGCGAAGGGGGGACGGAGAAGGCUAUGUUAGCCGGGCGACGGUUGUCCCGGUUUAAGCAUGUAGGCUGGUUGUCCAGGCAAAUCCGGAUAAUCAAGGCUGAGGUGUGAUGACGAGGCACUACGGUGCUGAAGUAACAAAUGCCCUGCUUCCAGGAAAAGCCUCUAAGCAUCAGGUAACAU